GGACCCGCACAAGCGGUGGAGCGAUUGUUGGAUUUUAACAUUCGGAUGCAAACAGCCGAAAACCUUACCUACUCUUGACAUACUUGGGAGCUCUUGUAAUGAGAGUGUGCCUUUUGGAACCAAGAUACAGGUGCUGCAUGGCUGUCGUCAGCUCGUGUCGUGAGAUGUUCCGUUAAGUCGGAUAACGAGCGCAACCCUUACCCUUAUUUGCCAGCGAUUCGGUCGGGAACUAUAAGGGGACUGCCGGUGAUAAACCGGAGGAAGGUGAGGACGACGUCAAGUCAUCAUGGCCCUUACGAGUAGGGCUACACACGUGCUACAAUGGGGAAUACAGACGGACGCUAAGCCGCGAGGUGGUG
rnacentral:rRNA from 1 species